AGAGUUUGAUCCUGGCUCAGGAUGAACGCUGGCGGCGUGCUUAACACAUGCAAGUCGAACGAAGCACUUUAUUUGAUUUCCUUCGGGACUGAUUAUUUUGUGACUGAGUGGCGGACGGGUGAGUAACGCGUGGGUAACCUGCCUUGUACAGGGGGAUAACAGUUGGAAACGGCUGCUAAUACCGCAUAAGCGCACAGCAUCGCAUGAUGCAGUGUGAAAAACUCCGGUGGUAUAAGAUGGACCCGCGUUGGAUUAGCUAGUUGGUGAGGUAACGGCCCACCAAGGCGACGAUCCAUAGCCGACCUGAGAGGGUGACCGGCCACAUUGGGACUGAGACACGGCCCAAACUCCUACGGGAGGCAGCAGUGGGGAAUAUUGCACAAUGGGCGAAAGCCUGAUGCAGCGACGCCGCGUGAGCGAAGAAGUAUUUCGGUAUGUAAAGCUCUAUCAGCAGGGAAGAUAAUGACGGUACCUGACUAAGAAGCACCGGCUAAAUACGUGCCAGCAGCCGCGGUAAUACGUAUGGUGCAAGCGUUAUCCGGAUUUACUGGGUGUAAAGGGAGCGCAGACGGCAUGACAAGCCAGAUGUGAAAGCCCGGGGCUCAACCCCGGUACUGCAUUGGAAACUGUCGUACUAGAGUGUCGGAGGGGUAAGCGGAAUUCCUAGUGUAGCGGUGAAAUGCGUAGAUAUUAGGAGGAACACCAGUGGCGAAGGCGGCCUACUGGGCUGUAACUGACGCUGAGGCUCGAAAGCGUGGGUAGCAAACAGGAUUAGAUACCCUGGUAGUCCACGCCGUAAACGAUGAUUACUAGGUGUGGGGGGACUGACCCCUUCCGUGCCGGAGUUAACACAAUAAGUAAUCCACCUGGGGAGUACGGCCGCAAGGUUGAAACUCAAAGGAAUUGACGGGGGCCCGCACAAGCAGUGGAGUAUGUGGUUUAAUUCGAAGCAACGCGAAGAACCUUACCAGGUCUUGACAUCGAGUGACGUACCUAGAGAUAGGUAUUUUCUUCGGAACACAAAGACAGGUGGUGCAUGGUUGUCGUCAGCUCGUGUCGUGAGAUGUUGGGUUAAGUCCCGCAACGAGCGCAACCCUUACCAUUAGUUGCUACGCAAGAGCACUCUAAUGGGACUGCCGUUGACAAAACGGAGGAAGGUGGGGAUGACGUCAAAUCAUCAUGCCCCUUAUGACCUGGGCUACACACGUACUACAAUGGCAAUAUAACAGAGGGAAGCAAUACAGCGAUGUGGAGCAAAUCCCCAAAAAUUGUCCCAGUUCAGAUUGCAGGCUGCAACUCGCCUGCAUGAAGUCGGAAUUGCUAGUAAUCGCGGAUCAGCAUGCUGCGGUGAAUACGUUCCCGGGCCUUGCACUCACCGCCCGUCA
rnacentral:rRNA from 1 species